rnacentral:misc_RNA from 1 species
GUUUAAACCAUUUUACCUAGCUAGGACUCCGAAAAUGAAGACAUUCCAUGGAUCUUCCAACACAAAAUUCAGGUUCUUUCUGUUGCCAAGGUCUCUACAAUGCUUGUUCUUUCAAGGGUUGCUGUUUAUUUGCUUUCACUUUUCUACUAUUCAUAGUCAUAGCCAUUGCAAUUUCUGCUUUGGUUGUUAUCUUCAUUUUCAGGCCUCAAGAGCCAAGAUUCUCUCUUUCAACAAUAAGGGUGAAUUCAUUUAGGCUCAGUGUUUAUUCUAGUUCAACUCUUUUCAUUUCCUCUGUUGUCUCCCUGACCUUAAAUGCUCAAAAC